UUAGACAACAUUCAAUUUAGAAGUUGGUGAUUCUGCCUUGGAUUUUUAAAUCCAAAAACUUGGAACAAAUUCCUUAGCCAAAUCCAAGUAUUUUAAAAUCCAAGAAAUUUCGUCCAAAUCUUGGCUUCAUUUCAAUUUUAAUGUUUUUGGAAUUGGAAACCAAGAACUAUUGAAGCAGAAUCAUUCUCGUCCAAAUCCUUGGCUCCAUUUCGUUAGUUUGGCAGUGAAACCAAGCCAAUUUCGUUCCUCAAAUUCAAAAGCGUAUAGGCCUAAAUCCGAUUUUUGGGUUCUAAGCUCAAUCCAUGAAGGUUUCUAAUGGGAUAAUUAUACGGAAUCGUUCCUACUCCAGGUAUGUUUAGGCUAUCCCUUUUUUCUUUUGGCAUGAUCCAUACGAUACGAACGAAACAUGAAAAUGCACAAAUUCCAUGAAUGACUCUAUUCAUAGAAGUAUUAAAGAUAUCUAUGUUCUUGAAUUUCCAUGUAUUAUAAUAUUUUAUCAUCUGUUCAUGGGUCUCAGCAAAAUACAAAAGUUUAAAAGAGUUUACUUUAUGAUAUUACUCAAAGGCAAAAUGGUCUUAUGAGAUUUCGAAAGAUUUUACUAACGUACUUUUCAUGCAUUGAAUUCAUGUGCAUUGACCCUUGACCAGAUGGCGUUAUAUACGCGUAUAUAUGUAGAUAUAUGUAUAUGGGAUAUGGGAAAAGGUUACAGCGUUAUAUACGCACCACCACCUGAUCAGCUGGUAUAUGAUGAUGAUAUUGCCCACAGUGACUGAAAUAUGAUUCAAAUGGCGUUAUAUAUGCGUAUAUAUGUAUGUGUUCAAACGGCGUUAUAUAUGCGUAUAUAUGUAUGUAUAUAUAUGUAUAUGGGAUACGGAAAAGGUUAUGGCGUUAUAUACGCACCACCACCUGAUCAGCUGGUAUACGAUGAUGAUUUUGCCCACGGUGGCCGAUAUGGUAUGAUGGGAUGCCCUUAUAGGCUGAUGAUGUUAUGAAAUAUGUAUCUAUGCAUGACAUGACAGUCAUACGCAUAUGCAUGACGCUAAAAUUAAUUUAUGAUUUACAAAAGUUAUUCAGACUUACAGGUUGAGUCAUGUACUCUAUAUGUCUUCCAUGUCUCUUAUGUAUUUAUUUAUGUGCCUUACAUUCUCAGUACAUUAUUCAUACUGACGUCCCUUUUGCCUCAGGAUGCUGUGUUGCAUGCCCGCAGGUCCCGAUAGAUAGAUUGAGAGCCCUCCAUGUAGGCUAUCAGCUUAGCGAAAGAUGUUGGUGCACUCCAUUUUCUUCGAAGUUGCUUGUUUGGUUAGUAUGAGUUAGACGUAUAUUAUUUGGUAUGAUGGACUCUAUCUCGACCUUUAUAAUAAUUAUGUAUUCUUAGAGGCUUGUAAAUAUAUGUCGUGUACGUGAAAGAUUGUACGGCCUUGUCGGCCUAUGUUUUGAGUUUAUAAAUGAUUAUGUUGGCCUAUUAGGCAUGUAUGUCACAUGUAUAUGAUAAUGUAAUAAGAAAG
rnacentral:lncRNA from 1 species